rnacentral:rRNA from 1 species
AAAAGAAACCAACAGGGAUUGCCCUAGUAACGGCGAGUGAAGCGGCAACAGCUCAAAUUUGAAAUCUGACUACUUUGUAGUCCGAAUUGUAAUUUGUAGAGGAUGCUUUUGGUGAGGUGCUUUCUGAGUUCCCUGGAACGGGACGCCAAAGAGGGUGAGAGCCCCGUACAGUUAGAUACUAAACCUUUGUAUAGCUCCUUCGACGAGUCGAGUAGUUUGGGAAUGCUGCUCUAAAUGGGAGGUAUAUCUCUUCUAAAGCUAAAUAUAGGCUAGAGACCGAUAGCGCACAAGUAGAGUGAUCGAAAGAUGAAAAGCACUUUGAAAAGAGAGUUAAACAGCACGUGAAAUUGUUGAAAGGGAAGCGCCUAUGACCAGACUUGUCUCUAUCAGUUUUGGUAGUUUUCGGACUGCUUUACUUCUGUUAGUACAGGCCAACAUCAGUUUGUUGUCGGGGAGAAAGGCUUAGGGAAUGUGACUCCUUCGGGAGUGUUAUAGCCCUUUGCAUAAUACCCUUCGGCAGACUGAGGA